rnacentral:rRNA from 1 species
CUAGUACUACUCUCGCCCAAGCACGCUUGACUGCGGAGUUCUGAUGGGAUCCGGUGCAUUAGUGCUGGUAUGAUCGCACCC